AGAGUUUGAUUCUGGCUCAGGAUGAACGCUGGCGGCGUGCUUAACACAUGCAAGUCGAACGGGCUCAUAUUGAAACCUAGUGAUGUAUGAGUUAGUGGCGGACGGGUGAGUAACGCGUGGAGAACCUGCCGUAUACUGGGGGAUAACACUUAGAAAUAGGUGCUAAUACCGCAUAAGCGCACAGCUUCGCAUGAAGCAGUGUGAAAAACUCCGGUGGUAUACGAUGGAUCCGCGUCUGAUUAGCUGGUUGGCGGGGUAACAGCCCACCAAGGCGACGAUCAGUAGCCGGCCUGAGAGGGUGAACGGCCACAUUGGGACUGAGACACGGCCCAAACUCCUACGGGAGGCAGCAGUGGGGAAUAUUGCACAAUGGGGGAAACCCUGAUGCAGCGACGCCGCGUGAGUGAAGAAGUAUUUCGGUAUGUAAAGCUCUAUCAGCAGGGAAGAAAAUGACGGUACCUGACUAAGAAGCCCCGGCUAACUACGUGCCAGCAGCCGCGGUAAUACGUAGGGGGCAAGCGUUAUCCGGAUUUACUGGGUGUAAAGGGAGCGUAGACGGCAGCGCAAGUCUGAAGUGAAAUCCCAUGGCUUAACCAUGGAACUGCUUUGGAAACUGUGCAGCUGGAGUGC
rnacentral:rRNA from 1 species